GCUGGCGGCGUGCCUAACACAUGCAAGUCGAGCGGUAGCAGGUGUAGCAAUACAUGCUGACGAGCGGCGAACGGGUGAGUAAUGCUUCGGAAUCUGCCCAAUGGUGGGGAAUAACCAGCCGAAAGGUUGGCUAAUACCGCAUAAGUCCUACGGGAGAAAGCAGGGGAUCGUAAGACCUUGCGCCGAUGGAUGAGCCGAAGUCGGAUUAGCUAGUUGGUAGGGUAACGGCCUACCAAGGCGACGAUCCGUAGCUGGUCUGAGAGGACGACCAGCCACACUGGGACUGAGACACGGCCCAGACUCCUACGGGAGGCAGCAGUGGGGAAUAUUGGACAAUGGGGGAAACCCUGAUCCAGCGACGCCGCGUGUGUGAAGAAGGCCUGCGGGUUGUAAAGCACUUUUAGUGGGGAUGAAAAGCUCAGGGAUAACACCUCUGGGUCUUGACCUAACCCACAGAAAAAGCACCGGCUAACUCUGUGCCAGCAGCCGCGGUAAUACAGAGGGUGCAAGCGUUAAUCGGAAUUACUGGGCGUAAAGCGUGCGUAGACGGUUAUGUAAGUCGG
rnacentral:rRNA from 1 species